AGUGAACGCUGGCGGUAGGCCUAACACAUGCAAGUCGAACGGCAGCACAGUAAGAGCUUGCUCUUACGGGUGGCGAGUGGCGGACGGGUGAGGAAUACAUCGGAAUCUACUUUUUCGUGGGGGAUAACGUAGGGAAACUUACUCUAAUACCGCAUACGACCUACGGGUGAAAGCAGUGGAUCUUCGGACCUUGCGCGAUUGAAUGAGCCGAUGUCGGAUUAGCUAGUUGGCGGGGUAAAGGCCCACCAAGGCGACGAUCCGUAGCUGGUCUGAGAGGAUGAUCAGCCACACUGGAACUGGGACACGGUCCAGACUCCUACGGGAGGCAGCAGUGGGGAAUAUUGGACAAUGGGCGCAAGCCUGAUCCAGCCAUACCGCGUGGGUGAAGAAGGCCUUCGGGUUGUAAAGCCCUUUUGUUGGGAAAGAAAAGCAGCAGGUUAAUACCCCGCUGUUCUGACGGUACCCAAAGAAUAAGCACCGGCUAACUUCGUG
rnacentral:rRNA from 1 species